rnacentral:rRNA from 1 species
ACAUUUAAUAUGGAUAUAGGUAUAUUUAAGAAAAAUAUUUUAUAAUUUUUGAAUAAAGUAUUAACUACAAAAUAUAAUAUUUAUGCACUAUAGAAUAAAGUAUCGUAAGAGAAAGUUGUAAUAAGUAAUAUAUUUGAGGAAAAGAAGUUAUCGUGCCUUGUGUAUUAUAAAUAAGCAAAAUUAAGGACAAAGUGUUUUCAUCUCGAAAUAGAAGGAGCUAAGAUAAUAAUUAGUUUAUGUGGUAAAAUAAUUAAUAAUUUUAUUUUAGUAGUGAUAUGUUAAACGACUUUUAUAUAUCUAGUUAUUCUCGAAAUGAAUUUAAUUCAGGUUUUAAAGUUUAAGAAAUUACUUUAAUACUAAAAGCAGGAGGGUGAAGCUUCUUGUUAUUUUUUUGUAUAAACUAAACAAUCAAUCAUAACGUUAAACUAGGCUUAAAAGCAGCCAUGUUUCGUAAAGUGUUCAAACUACAAUAUAAGUUGAAAUAAGUUUAAAUAAGUUUUACUAGAUUAGAGAAUAAAUGAAUGAAAUAAAGAGUUUCAUGUUAUAAUGUUUAUAUAAGUAGAUCAAUUGUAUUAAUAAUAGAUACACAUUAAAAUAAUAUUAAAUUUAUAUUGUUUACUUGUUAUAGUUUAGGAACUCGGCAAACUUUACUUCCGCCUGUUUAACAAAAACAUGUCUGAUUGAUUAAUGAAAGUCAGUCUGGCCUGCCCACUGAUAGAAAUUUAAAGGCCGCGGUAUCUUGACCGUGCGAAGGUAGCAUAAUCAGUAGUCUUUUAAUUGAGGACUGGAAUGAAUGGUCGCACGAGAAGUAAUCUCUCUUGACUGUAAAUAUUGAAUUUGACUUUUAAGUGAAGAGGCUUAAAUAAACUAAGGGGACGAUAAGACCCUUUAAAACUUUACAUCGAACUAGAGGGAGGAAAACUAUGUAUAAAUCUUUGUUCUAUUAACAUGUUUCGUUGGGGUGACGGAAGCAUAAUUUUUAACUGCUUUUAUUCAAGAUUCCAAUAAUUUUUGAAUGAUUGAUCCUUCAAUGGAGAUUAUAAGAAAAAGUUACUUUAGGGAUAACAGCGUUAUUAUUUUUAAGAGUUCAUAUCGACAAAAUAGUUUGCGACCUCGAUGUUGAAUUAAGAAGCCUUUAUAGUGCAGCAGCUAUACAAGUAGGUCUGUUCGACCUUUAAAUUCUUACAUGAUUUGAGUUCAAACCGGCGUAAGCCAGGUUGGUUUCUAUCUUUUAGGCUAAUAGUAAUCAUCUUAGUACGAAAGGAUUAGGUGUUUGAAAUAAUUUCUAUUAAUUAGAACAAUUAUUUAAGUUAAAGUCGUUCGCCUUUCAGAUUUCUAUUCUGAG